GCAACUUAAAGAAGUCCAGACGCUUUUCUUUGCAAACUCCUUUGAAUACUUGCAUUUAUAACCAGAGGCAGAAGUAUAAUUCAGAACUCUUAUAUGAACCAUUAUGUUCUGUUUCACUUGUUGGUUAGCUUUGGUUUCACCAGCUGUUUGGUUAGGUGUUGGAAAAACAGCCAUCCUAGUGUUAAAUCAUUGAGCUGUCUAUCAUGAGGUGAAAAUAAUCAUAGUUUUUGAAGCAGUGGCAGAGAUACCAAUGAGCCCUUUGGGUUACGCCUUUCAGAAUAAGUGAAAUCCCAAAGAAAGCAAGGUGCAGAUAUGAUGUGAUGCUGUUGUCAUGGUCUUUUGGUCAGAUCACCACCUGUUGUAGUCACAUUGCUAAAACACAGCUCACCACUGCUUACACUUAAACACCGCGUUCUGGUUAACACGUUAUAUGGGUGAAAGCAGAUUGGUUACAUUCUGAUAAAUCACAACAUUGACAGUGAAAUCUCUUCAUUCAUAUUACACUUAUUCAAAUUGUGGAAUCCCUUUAAUCUGGCCUACAGCAGUUUUUGAUGUCAGCAAGACAGAUGGAGGACAGGAAGGCCCUUCUGUCUUCAGUCAAACACGUGCAGAUCCAGUGGUGUGCUGUUUGAUCUGAUAGACACUUACACGGGCAGGCUGAACUGAAGGUCACAUUCAAUGAGGGAGAAGCCAGAGUGCCAAAAUGCCACCACUGCUUUGCGAUGAGAAAUCCUAAACAGGAAGCUCCAUCUGAGAGUGCUUAUGUGGCUGUAAACACUGGCUUCAUAUCAGCAGUAGUUCUUUCUAGUGAAGGUCCCUACACGGAAUAGUAACAUGAUAUCAAAGUACUGCAGCUGAACUUCGGUCAGGAAGGCUUUCUGAUAGAUCUCGCUGUGCUUUCAGAAAAUAUACACGUCUGUGAUGGGAAACUGUUCUGCAUGUUAAUCUGCUGUUACAGUGUGAAAACACUUCAUUUACAUUAGAAUGAACAAUAAUUAUGAAAUAUUCUUAAAAUAAUAGACAAUGCUGGGAACAGACUGGCAGUAGUGUCUGCCCUGAGCUGCCAGCACCAUGCCAGAUUAGAUUCUCACGGUCCCACAGCACCUCAGCAGGGUAACAACAGCCGAGGCAGAAGGACAGUUGUUACAGUUUUUAAUUAAUGGGAUUUUAAUUUUGUUGUUCACACUGGUGAUUAUGCAACUUUGAGUUGCCACCAGACCUGAAGACCCCCCCGGCCUAAACAACCUGACACUUGUGAGCAUGGCCCAGAGUGCAUCCAUAUACCGCUUAAUUUGAAAAGUCAUUACUAGAUUUAUUUAAAAAAAAAAAAAAAAAAAAAAAAGAUUACUGCUAAUACAUAAUCAUGAGUAGUGCAAUGAUAACAAUGAAUGUAACUGUUACAGUACUGCACAAAAGUCUUGAGCACCAAAGUAUUGUCAGAUUUUGAUUCACAUGCAGUACCAGGCUACUGGUGGUCCCACGUACUCGGUUUAAAACAGGUGGGGAUCGGGCUUUUCAGGCACCGAGGCUGUGGAACUCCCUGCUGUUGUCUUCUAGACUCUACUGACUCCUUUAAAAAGCAGCUGAAGACAUUUUUAUACAAACGGGCUUUUAAUUAAUUUUAACUUGUAUGUCUGAUCUUAUUGUGAAGCACUUUGUGAUUUUUAUCUGUGAAAUGUGUUAUAUAAAUAAAUUUUACUUACUUACCUUCUGGAAAUGGUCUCAUUGGCAUUGGCUUCAUUUUGCACAUUGCCAGUGUAGCAGACGCAUAUGUCGAUAGAAAAACACUGUCUUGGCCUGACCUCAACAUUACUGAAGCAGUGCAAGGACUUUCCUUUCAAGCUCACUGGAGCUUAAUAAACUGUGAUCUUAUCUUUUACACUGGACUUCCAUGUCUUUUUGCAGGUUUCAAACAUUUUUGUUUCCCUAGAAAAAUGAGGUGGUUCGACAGUGCAGCUGUUGGGUUAGGUGCCCACUUAUACUGUGCACAUAAGCAUUGUGUGAAUUAUGAAGUCAGCAAACUUGCAUAUGGAACAUUAAAGUGAGAAGGAGUCGUUUGUACUCUGCUGCAGAGCGGCCCUCCCAGUCUUCCUUGUGUCCGUUUAAAGCAGAGGUGUCAAACUUGAAUGAGCUGUGGGCCCCUGCUGGCACUGUCGUCUUAUUGGACACUUUAGUGUUCAAGUAGUACAAAAACAAGAAAACACCCACAAAUGUUUCCUAAAAUGUUUUGUUUGUUUUUUAAAAUUUCAAAUAUUGUAUAACAAGACAAAACUGCAAACGUGAACACAGAUUUUUAACUAACUUGAAGAAUUUCAUUGAACUACCAAAUAAACGCAUUGGUCCUCUCUGUCUGUGCACACCCGUGGCAGCACCUCUGCUAACAUUGUGUUCGUAUUUAACAAAAUAAAAAUGCAGACACAAGUGUAGAGUUUGACUCUGUCACUGAACUAACACAGCUGAUCCCUCAGCAUCUUUGUACUCUCUUGUUACCUCGGUCAGGUCCGCGGCUCUGAACUGUGGUAAAGGGACCUCUGGCAAAUAUGUCGGCAAGUAUGUUCCAUGUUGGGCUCAUAGCUGGUAACUAGCUUUACUGUCUGGGUGAACUUUGCUAGCGAGAGACAGAGAGAGGCGUUGAAAGGCUCCAACGGAACUUUAUUGUUUUGGAGGAAAACAUGAACACAGUGUACAGUCGAGUCUCCACAGCUUACUUACACCUGGGCUCGUCAGGCACUCUGCACCGGCUGCAGUGGUUAUUAUUAUAUUUACAUGCUUCCAUCUUCUGUUUCUUGUCGGUAGCAACUCAUACUUUCUCCCUCGCUCACACAAACAGCGGGCGGGGCAGUCACUCACUCUCCCUGCAGCACAGACUACACUACCCAUGAGGCUACAUUCUUUAAGGGCCAUGCCUGUAACACCCUGCUCAUAUUGCCUUCAUAAAAUCAUUGCACUCAACAACAACCAAGUCCUCCCUAACAAAAAGUCACUUCAAGGGCCAAAUUACAUUAUAUUUCUUCACGUCAAUGUACGGGCCGCGAGUGGCCCCCGGGCCGCGAGUUUGAGACCCCUGGUUUAAAGUGUAUCUCUGAUCUCACCGCCUAUUCAAAAUAAAACCAUAAUAUUGGAGCAAUCCAGAACGUAACUGCAACAUCCAGAUCCAGAUGUAGUGAACUGGAAGCCUGUCUUCACUGACAGCAGUCUUGUAUGAAGGAAAAAGUAGGGCAGUGGUUAUACCCAGACCUAGUGAUGCUUGGACUCAACAGAGUGGAAAUGAUCACUUGAAAAACCCACCAGGCUGUGGAAAAGCUAGCUCUGGUUCAGGAGCCAGCCAUUUGUUGUUGCUUCUGGAAAAUACCCGAGGCCCCAGCCGCUCAAUGUGAACUCUUCAUUCCCAUGGAAACAAAAAGAGAUGGAAAGCUAAAUAUAGUCUGUGGGGUCAUAUAGGUGUUGAAGUAUGUUAUAGUGUUUGUGCUGUUGAUUGUGCAAGAUCAGUGCUCAGACACGUUUGGCUAAACGAUGAACAGCGUAACACAAGUACUCCUAACACACCGAAACCCACAAGUAGAGACUGGGUAUAUAGGACUGGGUCAGCAGCAGUACCCAAAUCCCACAUAUUCAGAGAGUGCCUGAGUAAAGUGCUCCAUCAGAGGUGUGUGUGCCGUGCCAGCAGUUGGCUUAGCAUUUAAUGUCACAUGAAAGAGGUGGAUAAAGAGAGAUGUAGUGUGUGUGCGUGUGUGUUUAUGUGUUACAAAAGGAAGAUGAUGUAACACAAAGCAGAGCCUUGUGCAGUGUGUACAGUCUAAGUGAUGUGGUCUCCAGUGUGUCUCAUUGUAUCCACGGCUCAUCCUUCAGGUCUGGACUGACCCACAUGGUCUAUGACUUGAAUGACCAGUGAGCUGUUCAUGUGACACAAGCACAAGUGAUGACUCAGUAGCCCCUAAGUGCAUGUCCUUGUGUCUCUGUCAUCACUUAAACAGUCAGCUUCUCAUGCCGAGGGCGCCCACUGCCUGCAGUUGCUUCCUCCAAAGACUGCAAGCUGCACUUCAUAUAUCCUAAAAAAUAGGCAUGUUAUGGCAGCGGGCUGCUAGCAGUCUCAAAAUCCUGUGUAUGUAUCCAUGUAUUUAACAGUCUGUGUAUUUAGACUCUACAUGCCCACCAUGAAAGCAAAAAAUAAUCAGAUAUAUGAUGUUGAACCUAUACAUUUGUAAAAUAGGGUUAUGUUUGCACAUUAGUUUAUAAUGCUUUGCUUUGACUGGAAUUGCUCCUGGUAUAAUUAAUCUACCAGAACUUAAGUCACAUUUUGUAGAAGAACAUUAAACAGUUGAAACCUCCACCAAAAAAAGGUGAAAUGUGAAACACACACAGAAAGCUGUCGACAUACAUUCAUGUUUGGGUGUAGGGGUGGGAGGAUUCCAUAUGCAGGCACUAAAAUCCUCGUGUUUACUAAUCUGAUUUUAUUUAAUGUUUUUAUUAUUUGUAUUGAUGCCUUUGCACAUGGAAACCUCUGUCUAACCCAGGAUGGCACGUACCUAUUACACCAUUGUGAUCUAGCCAAUGAGGGAGCCACAGUUGAGUUUGUGUAUAUUACUGUGAAAUUUAGAUUCUGCAUAUCAACUCAAGUGUUUGUGUAUAUAUUAGAAUGUUGGUGAUUUCACCCCAGACUUCCUCUUCUUUUCAGUGAAGCACAGCUGUGUGCAGCAGGCUAAAAAUAUCUCAUUAGACCUACUCAAGGGGGCAUGAAAAACAGAAAUGAGGCUGCCAUGUAAGAGAGCUGCUGUCAGCGGGAGUGAGGGCUCCCCACACAGUAAAAAAAUGGAGUGUCAAUAUUUCAGAGUAAACCUAUUUUAACCUAGAUAGAAUAUUUACAACUCUAUGAAAAGUAAACCAGCUCUAACAUCAGAGUUAAAAGUCAGUGUAAAGUUUGUUAGUCACGCAGUGAAGACUUAACUCCACACAGUGUUGAUUUUUACCAGUCCGUGGGCGUGUGCGGCAGAGCUCUGAUGCGCAUGGAAUUUUCUCCGAAGAGCUGCCACAGUCAGGUAAGUGAAGUUAACAUUCCCAUAUUGAUAACAUUGUUUAGAAGGUAUUUUUAAACUAAAUAGCUCUUUAUAGUUUCACUGAUGUCGAGUGAGGACAUGUUAGCAGCAUUUACCCAUAGGUUUAAUGAUAUUCCAGUAGCUACAUGCUAGCAGUUGCUAAAAGUUCAGAUGUUCGUUAUCUUCUCACUGCCUUAAUAUGAACCUAAAACAUUUUAACUAUGUAUUCCUUCUAAAUGCUGUCUAAAUAAUAUCAUUGUCACAUGUCAAAUCGCACAGUUUGAACAACUAAAUUACCUUUUAUCAGUAAGCUAAUAAUCGCUAAUUAGCUUACAUAAGCGAACGUACUUUCAGAAAAAGUGGGUAACAUUACCAUAAAGUUAACUUUACUGGUUUAUAUUAUUUUAAGCAAAUGCCAAAGGCAUACACCACUUUAGAGUUUUGCUCAUUAUUUAGUAAGAAAUAUGUAUUUUGUAUAAAUUAACUGAUAGCAAUAUUAAUGACAUGUUAAGUAAUAUUAAGUAAUGUUUCUAUUUUACAGAAAGGUUUAAGAGUAUGCAAAAACCAAAUCUCUGAGAGAUGCAACCAGAAGACGGAUGAGAAACAUACUUGAGGCUGAGAUGACAGAAUAACAUGGGUAACAAUCAAAAAUGACAUCUCCCCCUAAAAGCGUGAUGUAUGCGCAGGGCAUUGUUGCUCUGUCUCCAUAUCUGAAAGGCCCAUAUUCACAACAUGGAUAUAAACAUUACUACGAUCCAGAGAGCGGUUCAGGAUACAUUGCAUGGUUGAAGACCAUUCAAAGAAAAGCUGUGGAGGAAAGAAGCAUCUCAGGUUGCAAAUCUCCCAAAAUUGGUGGGCCAGGCCAUGGUCGAUCCAGACCACUCACCACUAAGACAGUGUUAUCAGAUGAGGCUGUAAGAGCAGAUAUUGCUCUUUUGAGACACUCUGCUGAUGAAGACACUAUCCGUGAAAAGAUGAAAGCUACCUCCAUUUAUCGGCAUUCAAUGGUCAACGAUGAAAAGAAUGCAGCAGAUGUUUUCACAGGCCUGAUGCAGUUUCUGGACACACCAGGAAUGAUAGAACAAGAUUUGCGACUCCUGUUUUGUGAGGUCACUGCCAGCAAAUUCUUGGAGAGGUGGCCCAUCAAUCUCAAAGCAAAGGUUGUAAAGGAAAGUCAUGGACUUGUUCCCACCUCAGAGCUUGGAGUUAAUGUGAAAUGCUGAUUCAGGCUGGGACAGUGACAUGUCUACUAUCUUGCUGCUGCUACAUCUGCUACCACCAUCUGCACAAGGGCGAAAGAGACCAGGAAAGAUGUCUGCAUCUCAAGCUGUCGAUAACCUCAUCAAAUUCCCAAAGGCUGGAACCAGUGUACAGCAGCAUCUAGACAACAUCACCCGAAGCAGUCAGCCCUACCUUCUUGCUCAGGGAUCCACAAGAAGCAGCAUUCAUACUUUCAUUGUGAUUGACAAGCAUGCACUUCCACGUAAAGCGACAGGUUCAGUAGGAGCCCUUGAUGAACUCUUUAGGGCCCAUUAUGUCUUUGGUACAUCAUACAGUUCAUCCCUGACCAACUAUUUUACUUUUCUGCAAACAACUACGACAUUGGGGAGAUGUCAUAUUGCUUUCUCUAGUGAGCAUCAUAGAACUGUGAAUUGUAAAGGUUUGUUACGUUAAUUAAAUGACACUGAAAUGAGAAACAUAAUAAAUGCUGUUACUUUAACCUGUAUAUUUGUUAUUUCCAUAAUGUAGGAUAGAUCACAGUUAUUUAGUAAUAUAGCAUCAUAAGAUGAAUAUGAAAAUAAUCACACUACAGAGAAAUAAAAAUGAUAUAUUAUUACACAUCAGAGUGUUAUUAUUAAACUAAAUUUGGAGUAAAAAUAGCUCUAUAAAGUGUAAUCAAAUUACUCUGAACAGUGUGAAUAACCCUCAGUGUUAAAUAUUUUUACA